GCAUGAUAUGAAGCCGCUUCCGAAGGCAAGGCGCACACCUUCUGGCUCGGCUGCUGCGUGCGAAGGCACCCACCCCAGGCGCACAUGCGCACCAGCUCGAAACCUCCUUCCUAGGAUGACUGCCUUCCCGUCGCUGCCUCAUCAUCCAUGGACGCCUCUUUCAUUGUGUUUCUCGGCGCUGGAAAGUGCAAUGUGGUGGUGGAUCUGCCCAUGUGUUUGGUGCCGAGCUCCUUGAGCGCGGCAUCGCACCCUACUGGCGCUGCCGCGCAGCGCGCAGCCCUGCGCAUCCGCGACACGGCGGUAAAGGAGUGUUCAGAGUGCUACCGCGCGCUGGAGGCGUACGCGGGUGGGCGACGGGUCGUGCCGCUCCCGGCAGACCUCUACGCAGCGAUUGCGAGCGUCGUGCCGGCGAAGUAUCACGCGCUAAUGCACAACGCAUCGGAGGCUACACUGAUGCCUAACUUCACCAGCGAUCCAGCGCAGCUGCUUCAGAUGGACAUGGCUGCCUCAGACGCAGCCGGGCGAGUGGCCGACUACACGGUGGAGGUAAAACCAAAAAGCGCGUGGCAGCCACCACAAGUUGUGGGUAUCGUGGCGGAUGGCGUUGCUCACUGGAUUGAGGAGGUGAAGCAUCGCCACUGCCGCUACGCGCAGAUGCUGCGGUACAAGGAGGUGCGCGACGUGGCGGAGGGGGCUCCGGAGUCUGUGGCCUCGGCAGCGCCGCACGACUCUGUGCGCAGCGCUAAGAUGGGCAGCGGUCCCUACUGCCCGAACUACUUGUUUCGGCCCGCCCUCUCGUCACGCGAGGGGCUGCAACGACUCAUGCACAACCCACAGAACAACCUGAAGGUGGUCAGCUACCACGCAUCCCGCAAGGGCACCCACACAGGCGACCCGAAGACACUGACGGUUGAGGAGCUGAACGGCAUUGCUGAUGCCAUCGACGCCUCGCGGGUGCUAGCACCCUUGGCCCACCUGCAGCUGUACGGCUGCGCCCCUGCAAGCGCAGAUGCUUCGCCGGAGGAGGCUCAGUCGCGCUCGGUGCCCGUGCUGGACGCACAUCUGCUCUACCACUGGUCUGUUGCCCAAAACAAAGAGAAUGUUCAAUGGAUCGUCGUGGACACAGACCCGGAGACGCUCUGUAGCUGCAUGUCGAUCACUGACGGGGACGCUUGCAAGCGACCGAGUCGCGCAAGCCCUCGGUAUGUGGCGCCAACGUUGGACUACGCAGAAUGCCUCGACCGCUUUUACGUCUCCACCACAGCCAAGGACGUGUCGCUGAUGAUUGCUGUCUCGUGCUGUAAGAGCCAGCCGGUGUCGCCCGCGAGCGAGUGCGCGGUUCUGACCAACAUUUUGCCAGAGGUGGGCGGCGGCUGCUUUGUUCGCCGCGGUGCCGACGUUUACCGUAUCGGUGUGGUGGACCUGGACUCCAAAACGCACAAGUCUCUGGCUCACUACUACAUGCACGACAAGGUCAUUGUCAACGCCUUCGUGGCCCGCGAUAGCAACAUGGGAAAUUAGUGAAAAGCGAAAGACAAAGAUGGGGAUGGACGGGUGGCUGGGCGAUAAGGCCUGCGCUCGUGUGAGUUCGUGUCUUAAGGGAUACAGUGUUUUUGUUUACCGCUCAACGCUGCGGCCCUGUUGCCGCUUUCAAAGGAUGGUGCCACGACUGGCACCACUUCUUUGCCCACAUAGCAUGACCACACAGCCGAGCUCACGCAAUCGCGCAGACGUUGGCGCGCGCGCCGGGUUUCACUUUAUGUUGUUCAAAUGUUUUUUCUCGGCACUGUCGAUGCUGUCGCAUGCUCCUUGUCUGCUCUGUCGAGCUCAGCGGUUGCAUCAUGCGUGUUGGCCACGAACUCAUACACGCUUGCACGCGUGUGCGUCCUCCCUAUCUCGCUUGCGUGUGCACGGUAUCCUUCUCCACGUAUGAGGCGAGAGGGACACGCGCGUGCGCAAAGAGACGGGAGCACACCGCCCAUCAGACGGCGCGCGGGCGCACAUUCCUCUCUCCGCACAAGCAAGCGGCUCCGAACCUCUGCAGUGGCAGGGAAUGCGCUUGCAUUGCUUUUGUUCCGGUGCACUCGCUGCGGCGCGCUCGGAGGGGGGAUCGGGUACAUUGCCCGGGACGGAGGCGUAGGAAAACGUGAGUCGAUGAUAGCGGCGGACGCGGGUCAUGGAUUCCGCACGAGGUUGCUUUGGUGGUGCCUCCGCAGUGACGUGGCAUCACCCGAUAAAACAGGCGGCCAAGCGAGAACCGGUUGUUAUCAUUCGCCUUCGGGCGUCAGCGGCUGCCAGUGUUGCAUCCCUGCUCGCCGGAUGUGCAUGCCAGAUGGUGUGUUGCACUCUGCUGCUCGUCCUCGCGUUUGAGGCACAUACGUGGGUCUUUCGAUAUGUGUGUAUACUGUUUACGAUGCUUGCGCUCUGUCUCACCGCUGCUUCUACGAAUAUGCACCCCCACCCCUCGUUCGCCAUCCCCUCAUGCUAAUGAACUCGUCCACUCUCAGAAUGCCCCUUCUGCGCCCGCUUUCUCCGCUCCUGUGCACACGGUUGGUGACUGCGCCGCUGCCAUGUGUUGUGCACUUGUGUAAUGUGCGGUGCUGCUGACAUGCGCCGCAG
rnacentral:misc_RNA from 1 species